UCUUGGUCAUUUAGAGGAAGUAAAAGUCGUAACAAGGUCUCCGUUGGUGAACCAGCGGAGGGAUCAUUGCUGGAACGCGCCCCAGGCGCACCCAGAAACCCUUUGUGAACUUAUACCUUUUGUUGCCUCGGCGCAUGCUGGCCCCUAUGGGGUCCCCUGGAGACAGGGAGCAGGCACGCCGGCGGCCAAGUUAACUCUUGUUUUUACACUGAAACUCUGAGAAAAAAACACAAAUGAAUCAAAACUUUCAACAACGGAUCUCUUGGUUCUGGCAUCGAUGAAGAACGCAGCGAAAUGCGAUAAGUAAUGUGAAUUGCAGAAUUCAGUGAAUCAUCGAAUCUUUGAACGCACAUUGCGCCCUCUGGUAUUCCGGAGGGCAUGCCUGUUCGAGCGUCAUUUCAACCCUCAAGCAUUGCUUGGUGUUGGGGCACUGCUUUUAACGAAGCAGGCCCUGAAAUCUAGUGGCGAGCUCGCCAGGACCCCGAGCGCAGUAGUUAAACCCUCGCUCUGGAAGGCCCUGGCGGUGCCCUGCCGUUAAACCCCCAACUUCUGAAAAUUGACCUCGGAUCAGGUAGAU
rnacentral:rRNA from 1 species